rnacentral:lncRNA from 1 species
UCGGUUUGUUGUUUCCAUUCACAGCAAGGCCAUAAAACGUCUGCAAAUAUCACCAUCUGCCAGUGUGAUAUUCAGGAGCUGCUGUGUAAAUCAAAACAACAGUAGAAGCAGGCCGGAUACUACUUUGUUGCUACG